GUAGGGGUGAACCUGCGGAAGGAUCAUUGUU
rnacentral:rRNA from 1 species